rnacentral:sRNA from 1 species
GCUGGGCAUGGUAGCUCAGGCCUGUAAUCCCAGCGCUCAGGAGGCUGAGGCAGGAGGAUCACACAUUUAAAGCCAGCCUCAGCAACCUAGCAAGGAUAUAAGCAACCUAGUGAGACCCUGUCUCAA